UACGAGGGGGGCGAGCGUUGUUCGGAAUUAUUGGGCGUAAAGGGUGCGUAGGCGGUUUGGUAAGUCUCUUGUGAAAUCUAUGGGCUCAACUCAUAGUCUGCAAGGGAAACUGCCGGGCUUGAGUGUGGGAGAGGUGAGUGGAAUUUCCGGUGUAGCGGUGAAAUGCGUAGAUAUCGGAAGGAACACCUGUGGCGAAAGCGGCUCACUGGACCACAACUGACGCUGAGGUGCGAAAGCGUGGGGAGCAAACAGG
rnacentral:rRNA from 1 species